rnacentral:rRNA from 1 species
GAUGAACGCUAGCUACAGGCUUAACACAUGCAAGUCGAGGGGCAUCAGGAAGAAAGCUUGCUUUCUUUGCUGGCGACCGGCGCACGGGUGAGUAACACGUAUCCAACCUGCCCUUUACUCGGGGAUAGCCUUUCGAAAGAAAGAUUAAUACCCGAUGGCAUAAUGAUUCCGCAUGGUUUCAUUAUUAAAGGAUUCCGGUAAAGGAUGGGGAUGCGUUCCAUUAGGUUGUUGGUGAGGUAACGGCUCACCAAGCCUUCGAUGGAUAGGGGUUCUGAGAGGAAGGUCCCCCACAUUGGAACUGAGACACGGUCCAAACUCCUACGGGAGGCAGCAGUGAGGAAUAUUGGUCAAUGGGCGCUAGCCUGAACCAGCCAAGUAGCGUGAAGGAUGAAGGCUCUAUGGGUCGUAAACUUCUUUUAUAUAAGAAUAAAGUGCAGUAUGUAUACUGUUUUGUAUGUAUUAUAUGAAUAAGGAUCGGCUAACUCCGUGCCAGCAGCCGCGGUAAUACGGAGGAUCCGAGCGUUAUCCGGAUUUAUUGGGUUUAAAGGGAGCGUAGGUGGACUGGUAAGUCAGUUGUGAAAGUUUGCGGCUCAACCGUAAAAUUGCAGUUGAUACUGUCAGUCUUGAGUACAGUAGAGGUGGGCGGAAUUCGUGGUGUAGCGGUGAAAUGCUUAGAUAUCACGAAGAACUCCGAUUGCGAAGGCAGCUCACUGGACUGCAACUGACACUGAUGCUCGAAAGUGUGGGUAUCAAACAGGAUUAGAUACCCUGGUAGUCCACACAGUAAACGAUGAAUACUCGCUGUUUGCGAUAUACAGUAAGCGGCCAAGCGAAAGCAUUAAGUAUUCCACCUGGGGAGUACGCCGGCAACGGUGAAACUCAAAGGAAUUGACGGGGGCCCGCACAAGCGGAGGAACAUGUGGUUUAAUUCGAUGAUACGCGAGGAACCUUACCCGGGCUUAAAUUGCAGUGGAAUGAUGUGGAAACAUGUCAGUGAGCAAUCACCGCUGUGAAGGUGCUGCAUGGUUGCCGUCAGCUCGUGCCGUGAGGUGUCGGCUUAAGUGCCAUAACGAGCGCAACCCUUAUCUUUAGUUACUAACAGGUUAUGCUGAGGACUCUAGAGAGACUGCCGUCGUAAGAUGUGAGGAAGGUGGGGAUGACGUCAAAUCAGCACGGCCCUUACGUCCGGGGCUACACACGUGUUACAAUGGGGGGUACAGAAGGCAGCUAGCGGGUGACCGUAUGCUAAUCCCAAAAGCCUCUCUCAGUUCGGAUCGAAGUCUGCAACCCGACUUCGUGAAGCUGGAUUCGCUAGUAAUCGCGCAUCAGCCACGGCGCGGUGAAUACGUUCCCGGGCCUUGUACACACCGCCCGUCAAGCCAUGGGAGCCGGGGGUACCUGAAGUACGUAACCGCAAGGAUCGUCCUAGGGUAAAACUGGU